rnacentral:lncRNA from 1 species
GACCGUGGCCAAACGCAGCUCGCAGUGGUCCAGAGCCACUCACGUCCUUGGCUGGAGCCCCGCGGGUGUAGCGGGCCCCGGUGCCUCCUUCGCCCCCGGGAUCCUGCCCUUCCUUCCCUGCCCGCCUCCGCCGGCGGGAGCUCUGCCCGCUGCUCCUUCCUGGUCGCGGGGCGCGGCUGCCGGGCGCACCUCCCGCGCAGGUACCGGGGCACAGCCGGCACGGAGGCACAGCCUUCCAAAGGGAGCGCUGGGGCAGGGGGGAACGAGGGAACGAGCCACAGGGCGCCGAGAGCGGGCGGGGGCAGUCCCGGCUCUGCUGCCGGAGGAGGCGCGGCUGUGUGGCGGCGGGAGGGACCCACGCGCGCUCCGGAGCGCGGAGCGGAGCUUUCCCCUUUCCUGCUCCAUCCCUGCCUCUCCCUCACCUGGCCGGCGCUGUCCCCUCGCACCUUGGCUGCUCCCCCCGCUGCAUGCAGCCCGCGGAGCGCCGCAGCCCAGGAGGAUACGCCGGGUGCGUUGGGAUUCACUAAUUUAUUUAUUAUUAUUAUUUUUUUAGAGGGUUUUUUGUUUUUUAUUUUCUUCUCUCCGGGCGGCUUCGCGGAGGGGAAGGAAGAGGGGCAGCCGGGGCCUCCCCACCACCGCGGCUCCAGGGCUGUGCCCGCCCCGCACGCUGCGCUCCGCUCCGCCGUGUUUGUUGUUGUUGUGCUCCGGGGAAGGAGGCGGCAGAGCGAGCGCUCCCCGGGGCGGCGCAGGGCGGGCAGCCCUCGGCUUCUUUCCCUUCCUCUUCUCCGCGCGGGGCUCGGCGGAGGACGAGGUGCGGCACACCUGGGGCAGGUGGCAGCGGUAGGUGGCCCCGGGCUCCCCCGGAGGGAUCCCGCCCGCGGGACAGGUGCCUGCGGAGCGGCGAGCGGUGCUGGGCAGGGCGGGGAGGGGAGGCAGGGCAGGCGCUGCUGCCGGCCCCAGGUGGGUGCCAGGGGUCCCCUCCGUCGGGGCGGCCGUGCCUUACAUAACCGGGCGGGAGGCCCCGGGUCCGUGCCGUGCCUUCCGGUUUCACAUCCGUGCCCGGAGCCUUACAGCGACACGCACAACUUCUCCUUUUUCUGUUUUGUUUUGUCGUUUGUUUCUUUUUCCCCCCGCCGCUUCACGGGGCCAAAGGAGCGGGGCAGGUGCUGUGCUCGCCGUGAUCCCGCCGCUGCCCCUGCGCGGCUGGGCGCUCCUGCUGGCAUUUCCUGA